rfam:Penicillium coprophilum strain IBT 31321 PENCOP_contig015, whole genome shotgun sequence.
GGGGCGAUAGCUCAGUUGGGAGUAGCGUACGACUGAAGUUCGUAAGGUCGCCGGUUCAAUCCCGGCUCGCCCCA